rnacentral:piRNA from 1 species
UUAUGAUGGCUAGUGGAGUUCUUCCUGACC